ensembl:lincRNA
UAUGGGUAUGCAAAAUAAUAUACAGAUGGCCCUGUCUGAAGAAUUACAAAGGAUUGCCUAGGCCCUUUUGGUUAUCCAGGUGUUUUCUAUUUUUUUCCACUGCCAGGGUGGCUUGUGUUAAAUCUGGAAAGACAGAUGCCUUACCAAAUGCAGAUCAAAUCCUGAAUGCAUUGAUGAUGACAGUAUGACCAUUAAAAACUCCUAUAUAUGAAAGAGAGGGAUUGGGAAAAUGUCUGGUUUGUUUGCUUGUUUGUCUGCAUCUUGGAUUCUUUGCCUCACCUCUGUCCAGAGAGGAUUUGAGAAGACUGAACAAUUAUAACAAAAAAGCAAAUCUAAAUACGGCAGGAAAAGCAGACCCCAGAUGGAGGACAUUGGCAUUCCGGCUUACGAGUCAGACUCUGAGGAGCUUGAUAAGAGUGAGUCAGCCUCCCUGAGUCUGAUCAACUUGGGAAUGCUGACGACCCUGUGAUAAUUUUAGUAGAAAGACAUAUUGCCUGCCCCUGGAGACAUCCAACCCCAUCCUCACCAUCCACAAGUAUUCUUAUCAUUAGAGAAAAAGAAACAAAUCACUUCAAGCAAGAUUGUCUUUUGUAGUGCAAAUUCUGUAAGAAAUUUAUCAGGUAAGAUUUUGCAUCGGAUAUUCUGGCCUAAGUAGUUGAUGACACCUGGAAACACAGGCAGAGGGCUGGUGGUUUUAAUAGUAUCCUUUGAUAAGAACUGAGGGCUGCCAUUAGAGCCUGAAGAAAAAUACUUCUAAAUAAGGCCAAGAUAAUGUGUUCCAAGUGGUACCAUGUUUUCAGCGAUCUGGACUAAUGCAUAAAUGAAACUUUGAGUGCCUAGGGAAUUGCCUUCCAAAAAUCCUCCAGAUGGUCACUUCCCCAGGAAGAGAGCCUAGAGGCAACCCAAGAUUACAUUCUCUAUGAAGAGUCUGGAAUCUAUAAGGAGAAUUUAGUCUAGAGGAAGGGCCUGAGAUCCUUUUCCUGAGUUUGUUGGUUGAGGGAGCAUCCUACACUUUGGGAUUUGGGAAAGCGGAAACUUACUCAAUUUCAUAUCCUUGUUUGGAAAUACAGAAUCCUAACCAAGACCCUGGCCUCAAAGGAGAACUGCUCAGCUUCUACAGAGAGUGACUAAACAGAUAAACUGAUGGAAAAAUAAAAAUUUUUCUCAAACAGUUGUAUUUAUUCUCUUGUAGCAAAUAAGCAAACGGCUGACUCAGCCUCUGAAGAUCACCACUAUGAUGAGUUUUACCUGUGAGGCUUCUAAAGCAGAAGUUGCCAUGAGCAUCUGGUCACUGUGCCUAUGGAGACACAGCCAGGAAACAUAUUAAAGGAUAUUAAUUUAGAUGAUUAAAUGUAUUUAGUUGAAUAAAUAUUAUAAUUUUAUAUUGAAAUUACUUUUAUAUGAUUGUGUUUUAUGCACUGAUUUCAUCAAGCAAUCUCACUACUAUGAACAAGCCGCAUUUUAUUAUAAUGGCAGUGGACAUUAUAAGUUAAUAUAAAAUUCUUCCAAUUCUCUUACAGCCUUUGAUGAUGCCCUUUGUUCAGCAGAAAUGUGGUUGCUCCUGAGGGAGUUAACAACAUGAUAACUAAUUUCUUAGAAAGGUGAAAGCAAUUUAAAAUUAUUUUAUUAUAUAGUUCGGUAUGUUUAUUAUAACUAUGAUAAAAUGGUGACAAAAAUAAAAUGUCAAAUCACCC